CACGAGAUUGUAAGUUAGUACCUAAGAGCUAAAUUUUGAGAAUAAAUGAAUAGAAAAAAGAAGGGACCCAAGAAAGGAAAGAAAAACAUGAAAUGUACAAGGAAAAAAGGUGAAAAGAAAAUGCUUUCCAAAAGAUGGGUGAAUCAAUGUAGUAAAGAUAGGCACAUGUGUAAAGAGUGAAAACAAGAGAAGUGACCCAUGGUCAAAAGUUGGAUGAAAAAGUGUAAUGUAGAUGUUCAAGGAGGGUAUAGCCAGUUUGUUCCUAAAUGAUAUCCUACCCUAUGCCAAACCUACAUUACAAGAUCAAAAAGCCCUCCGAGAUCUCCAACCAAGUGUAUUCAUUGUAGUGGCGAUUGAAAAUAGGGGCAAG
rnacentral:lncRNA from 1 species